rnacentral:lncRNA from 1 species
AUGAAGAAGUCACAAUCAAAUCGAAGAAUAUGGACUAUAAGAUACAACCGUCACAAAACUGUUGAUAAUUUUAGUGCUUGGGUCCGAUUGAUAGUCAAAGGAUGGGAAAUAAUUGUGAAUCAGAUUUUUUUUAAUAAAAACAAAUGAAAACAAGAAACCGAUGGAUUGUGUAUAUUAUAAAAAAAAAAAAAAAAAAAAAAACAAGAUACGGUGUUUUGUUGGUUGAUCGCAUAUUGGAAACUGGUUGAUCGUUGAUCAGGAGGGUACUAUUCCAUCUCAACACAAAAAUCAAAUUCGGUCUUGACAAACCUUUUGGUCUUAUCUGAUUAAGCAUUUGUGUGUACCCACAAAUAGUUAGAUCUGAAAGUGCAUCACCAUUCCAAGAGGAAUCCAAGUUUAUAUUUCAGUGUUUUUCAUCUCUCCAAUCAGAUCUGCGAUUUCGAUUCACUGCAGGGUUAGAGGUGUUUGAGUGGUUUCGGUUAUUUACAUGGCUGACAAGAACAAAAUUUUUGGGGUACAUGGCUAACAAGAACAAACUAUUUAUGUAUUUCGGUUGCACGCUUUUUUUGUAUCCGUGAUGACGGCGGCCUCGAUUUUGUUUGAGAUCGUCGGCAUUGAUCUGGACUAUUGUCGGUAAAUUUUGGUGCCGUUACGGGCCUGACUGCCUGUGUAGAAACCGCCAUAAUUGUUUACGUUCAAUCCGAGUAGAGUAACUUGUUAAUAUUUUUCUCGCGUGACAUUCAAAUUGCAAAGAGUUCGUCGAUCUCGGCAAUGGCACUAGACUCACAUCUUUACGGUAACAAUUUGCCCAUUGCAUACAUGGUAAGUUGGCCGGAUAUAUAUUUGGUUUGGCUUUUGGGACAGGUGAUCAACGGUGAUUUAGAGUUUGUGGUUGAUGACGGUUUAGUCGAUUGAAGUCUGGUAAACUCGUGAAGAUCUCCGAGUUAUUCUUGAUCAAGAACAAAAACUCGUGAAAAUAAAAGUUCGUUGGUACAACAAAUUGUAUACUCC